CAAUAGCGUAUAUUAAUUUUGUUGCAGUUAAAAAGCUCGUAGUUGACAUUCAGGAUGUUGCGUGAUUCAUCACCACGUCCCACUUCACGAAAUCUGACUGAGGCAUUAACUUGCAGCUUUCAGAGUGCGUGACAUUCACUGUGAGUAAAUUAGGGUGUUCAAAGCAAGCAAUUGUUUGAAUACAUCAGCAUGGAAUGAUGAUACAUGACUCUGGUCACAUGUUUGGCUUUCAUAUCAGAGGAAUGAUUAACAGGAACAGUUGUGGGUAUUCGUAUGGUCAUGUCAGAGGUGAAAUUCUUGGAUCUUGACCAGACGGGCGACUGCGAAAGCAUUUACCAAGGAUGUUUUCAUUAA
rnacentral:rRNA from 1 species